rnacentral:rRNA from 1 species
AAGUUCUGNCGGUGAUGGAUGAGCUCGCGGCCUAUCAGCUUGUUGGUGGGGUAAUGGCCCACCAAGGCUUCGACGGGUAGCCGGCCUGAGAGGGUGACCGGCCACACUGGGACUGAGACACGGCCCAGACUCCUACGGGAGGCAGCAGUGGGGAAUAUUGGACAAUGGGCGAAAGCCUGAUCCAGCAACGCCGCGUGAGGGAUGACGGCCUUCGGGUUGUAAACCUCUUUCAGCAGGGACGAAGCGAAAGUGACGGUACCUGCAGAAGAAGCACCGGCCAACUACGUGCCAGCAGCCGCGGUAAUACGUAGGGUGCGAGCGUUGUCCGGAAUUAUUGGGCGUAAAGGGCUCGUAGGCGGUCUGUCACGUCGGGAGUGAAAACUCAGGGCUUAACCCUGAGCCUGCUUCCGAUACGGGCAGACUAGAGGUAUGCAGGGGAGAAUGGAAUUCCUGGUGUAGCGGUGAAAUGCGCAGAUAUCAGGAGGACACCGGUGGCGAAGGCGGUUCUCUGGGCAUUACCUGACGCUGAGGAG